UGAAGCGAAGUGUUUGUUUCGAGAUGGAUACGAAAACCCGCCUCAAACAAUGCCAAGCUACGAGCAGUAUCCAGCACUACAAGAUGAAAGACGUAAUAUGUGCCAGAAAAGGCUGAUGUCUGAUCAACGCAUCGAGCGAAUUGAGACCAUAAGCGUGUGCUACUUUGGCUGCCACACUUCAUUUACUUCAACGACAGAUACAGCGAGUGUGGUUUACAUGCACGAUGAAGACGGCACGCACUGCAACAUAUAUAAUCCCACAGAGAAAUGCAAGAAUGGGAAAUGCGUCCCGGAAACAUAAGAUUUUCUAUGAACUCAAGAAGCAGACAUUGAUGCACUCACGUUUCUCUUGCUUCAUUAAACAGAG